rnacentral:rRNA from 1 species
AGAGUUUGAUCCUGGCUCAGAGCGAACGCUGGCGGCAGGCCUAACACAUGCAAGUCGAGCGCCCCGCAAGGGGAGCGGCAGACGGGAGAGUAACACGUGGGAACGUACCCUUUGGUUCGGAACAACCCAGGGAAACUUGGGCUAAUACCGAAUAAGCCCUUACGGGGAAAGAUUUAUCGCCGAAGGAUCGGCCCGCGUCUGAUUAGCUAGUUGGUGAGGCAACGGCUCACCAAGGCGACGAUCAGUAGCUGGUCUGAGAGGAUGAUCAGCCUCACUGGGACUGAGACACGGCCCAGACUCCUACGGGAGGCAGCAGUGGGGAAUAUUGGACAAUGGGCGCAAGCCUGAUCCAGCCAUGCCGCGUGGGUGAUGAAGGCCCUAGGGUUGUAAAGCCCUUUCGGCGGGGAAGAUAAUGACGGUACCCGCAGAAGAAGCCCGGCUAACCUCGUGCCAGCAGCCGCGGUA